rnacentral:rRNA from 1 species
UGCGUAGGCGGAAUAUUAAGUCAGUGGUGAAAUCCUGCGGCUCAACCGUAGAACUGCCAUUGAUACUGAUAUUCUUGAAUGUAGUUGAGGUAGGCGGAAUGUGUAAUGUAGCGGUGAAAUGCUUAGAUAUUACACAGAACACCGAUUGCGAAGGCAGCUUACUAAACUAUGAUUGACGCUGAGGCACGAAAGCGUGGGGAACGAACAGGAUUAGAUACCCUGGUAGUCC